rnacentral:rRNA from 1 species
GACGAACGCUGGCGGCGUGCCUAAUACAUGCAAGUAGAACGCUGAAGCGAGGAGCUUGCUCUUCUUGGAUGAGUUGCGAACGGGUGAGUAACGCGUAGGUAACCUGCCUUGUAGCGGGGGAUAACUAUUGGAAACGAUAGCUAAUACCGCAUAACAAUGGAUGACACAUGUCAUUUAUUUGAAAGGGGCAAUUGCUCCACUACAAGAUGGACCUGCGUUGUAUUAGCUAGUAGGUGAGGUAAUGGCUCACCUAGGCGACGAUACAUAGCCGACCUGAGAGGGUGAUCAGCCACACUGGGACUGAGACACGGCCCAGACUCCUACGGGAGGCAGCAGUAGGGAAUCUUCGGCAAUGGGGGCAACACUGACCGAGCAACGCCGCGUGAGUGAAGAAGGUUUUCGGAUCGUAAAGCUCUGUUGUAAGUCAAGAACGGGUGUGAGAGUGGAAAGUUCACACUGUGACGGUAGCUUACCAGAAAGGGACGGCUAACUACGUG